AUAAGAAAUUGAAUUUCAAAUAGCGUAACAAAUUAAAAAAAAAAAUCACCUCAAGAGAUUGAAUUGUCUGUGUCUCACAACUGAAGAUAACAAAUUGAAUUGUCUGUGUCUCACGCUCAAGAGAUGAAGAGAAGCGAAGAAGAACUUGGGAUAGUGACGAAGAGGCGAUGGGGAAGAGAAGUAGAGCCGAUGGGCAAGAGAGAUGGAGUCACGAAGAGAAGAAGAAGCGAAGGGGAAGAGAAGGAUGGGACACGAAGCUUAACUGGAAGAGAAGAGGAAGAAUUUUGUCGCGAAGGGGAAUUUCAGAGACGACGCAGUGAGAGACCACCGGAGAGGAAGAUAUCACCGGCGACUCAAAAUCCCUAAUUUGCUUCUGAAAAAAUCUCAAACCCUUGAAAUGUUUUGUCGCGUUAGUUUUGUUUGUUUUUUUAUUUUUUUUUCUUUUCUAUAAUUCUAACUUACAUUUUAUAUUAAAAUUAAAUUAAAAUAGUAAAAAUAUAAAAUUGGGUUUUUGGUAAUUCUACAAUAAAAUUGUGUUAAUCUAGUUCUUAGAUGUAAUGGGUG
rnacentral:lncRNA from 1 species